rnacentral:lncRNA from 1 species
CAUCCCAUGAGCAACAAUCUGUGCUUUUGUUCCAUGAUAGAGUUUUCGGACUAGGAAAGCCACAGAUAUCAGAAGCAUUAGGAUUAAAGGUAAACAUGUGCUUGAAUUGUAGAAGAGCAUGAGCUUGAUCUUCGGGGCACAAAUGAGGUAACGCUGAGGAGAAAACAAGUUGACAGAGAAAGGUAUAUAGCAUAAAAAAUAGUACAAGUUUUACACAACCCAUUGCUGCACAAAAAUGAUCUAAACUAAUUAAGUUGGUGGAGAUGAAAUCAAGAAAUGUUUGCUCUGUGUCUCUAUUCAAUAGUAAUUUUGAUGAGGUAUAUAUAGCGCAAAUUAAGCAAAGUUUUUAAUGAAUAUUUACUAUUGGAAUGCCAAUGCAUAAGAAGAUUCGAAUGAAAGCUACAACACAAAGCCACUUGUAACAACACAUGCAUUUUGUCUGAUACAUUUAGAUAAAGAUGUCACAAGAGAAUGUCUUUAGAUAAACAACCCUCCACACACACCAGACAAACAACAUUAUAAGUGUGCCAGCUCUGAAGAAUAUAACUUUAUAUCAUAGGAAUAGGACGUUACAUUGCUAAUGCAUUAAGGUUGGGAUGGAUAUCUACUAUGAAUACAGCACCUUAUAUAGUGCGCGCCAGCUCUAGCCAAUUUCCCAUGAGAAUGUACCUACUGUGGGGAUCCAGCCCCUUUAUGCAGAAACCUUUCUUCUUGGGUCCAAAAUUGCUGCAGCCUUUGGCUUUUGUUAAUUGGCCUUUCCUUGCUAGGAAAGUCAAGCAAGGGGUACCAUUCUUGUUGGGUUUUGAUGUCAUUGCUUACAUCAACUUGAGCAGAUUUUUGCCUAUAAAUAGAGGAACCUUCAGAUCAUUCAAACACACCAACAAAGAGGGAAAGAAAAAUAGAGUGAGGCAUUGCUUACAUCAACUUGAGCAGAUUUUUGCCUAUAAAUAGAGGAACCUUCAGAUCAUUCAAACACACCAACAAAGAGGGAAAGAAAAAUAGAGUGAGGCAUCAUAGAGAGUUUAGUCUGUGAGGAAAAAUAGAGAGUAAGCGAUAUUGUAGUGAGGUGAAAAAAAAAAUCAAAAGAGAGAUUUAUUUUGAGUGUGUAGUAGUCACUUUGAGUAUUGUACUUGUGACUACGGUGUAAAAUUCCUUCUACAGAGAUAUCAGUUUCUCCUCUUGGCCCGUGGUUUUUCUCUCAUUGGGUUUCACGUAAAAAUCUUGGUGUCAUUAUCACUCUUAUUUUUCUUGUUGUUUAAUCGUAUUACCGUUGUCGUAAUUAUUACUCUUUAUUACCGUAAUAAUAUUAUCGUGGCGGGAUUUAUUCCCAACAACUGGUAUCCGAGCGCAGGUUCUACUCAUUCACGAAAAUAAUAUUUGCGGUUGGUGGUACUAUAAUCGGUAAAAAUAAAAUGUCCCGAGUAAAGUAUGAGGUAGCAAAAUUUAACGGUGAUAGCAGUUUCUCAACAUGGUAGAGGAGGAUGAGGGAUUUGUUCAUCCAACAAGGAUUACACAAGGCACUAAGUGGCGAAUCCAAAAAGCCCGAAUCAAUGAAAUUAGAGCAUUGGGAAGAAAUGAAUGAAAAGGCUACUAGUGCAAUCAGGUUGCACUUAACAGAUGAUUUGGUCAAUAACAUCAUUGACGAAGAUAGUACAUGUGGGAUUUGGACAAAGUUAGAAAAUCUCUACAUGUCUAAAAUGUUGACAAAUAAAUUGUACCUAAAGAAGAAGUUGUACGCCCCACAUAUGGGUGAAGGUACAAAUUUAUUGUCACAUUUAAAUGUUCUUAAUGGACUGAUCACGCAGUUGGCUAACCUCGAUGUAAAGAUCGAGGAGGAAGAUAAAGCCACCAUACUCUUGAACUCUUUUCCAUCUUCUUAUGAUGCUUUGGUAACAACCAUUUUACAUGGUAAGGACUCUAUUGAGCUGAAAGAUGUCACAUCAACUCUUCUACUUAACGAAAAGAUGAGAAAGAAUCUUGAAAAUAGUGGGCAGGCUCUUAUCACAGAAAGUAGAGGCAGAAGUCACCAAAGGAGUUCAAAUAGCUAUGAUAGAACCGAAGGUCGUGGAAAGUCCAAGGUCCCAUCCAAAUCAAAAGCUAGAAAUUGCUAUAAUUGCAAUCAACCAGGUCAGUUCAAAAGAUAUUGUCCAACUCGAAAAAGGGGCAAAGGUGAAAGUAGUGGCCAUAAGAAUGAUGAGAACACUGCUGCCAUGGUGCAAAGCAAUGAUGAUGCUGUUCUCUUUAUUAAUGAGGAAGAGGAGUGCAUGGACUUGGCAGGGACAUAGUCGGAAUGGUUGGUUGAUGUUAGAGUGGGUAAAAGUCCCACAUUAGUUGGGGAAUGGACUAGUGGUUUGCUUAGAUGGACUUGGGUAAUCCUCCCCUCUUGAGCUAGCUUUUGAGGUUGAGUUAGGCCUAAGGUCCAUUUUUGACAUGGUAUCAGAGCCAGGUCCAUUCUUGUUUUGGGCUCCUGGUCCACGCGCCAGUGCCAGUUGGGCCUGGGUGUGAGAGGGGUGUUAGAGUGGGUAAAAGUCCCACAUUGGUUGGGGAAUGUGUUAUUAAGCUUGAACUCGUGAAUUUUGCCACUGAAAGAUUUAAUGCUCAAAUCUAACAAAGAUAGUGAUGGGUGGGAGAAUAUCCAGGAAGGUAUAGUCCCAUUCAAGUAGUUUGAUGAAAAGUAGAGUACAAAUAGUUUUUCGAGUCCACUUACGUUGGAUGAAAUUGGACCAGUUAGGGAAUUGUAAGGUAAAGAAAGGUGUUCCAAGUUGGAAAGUUGGAAAACUCUUUCUAGCUUGGAAGAGUUGUUAAAUAAGAAGAGAAAUUUAGAGGAAUGGUGGAAGAGAUGUUCACAGAGUCAAGGUCAAGCUGUCUUAAUUGGGUCAAGUUCUUAAGGAGCAGUUCAAAAUUGUAAGGCCCCACUCUAAGCCAAUACGGAUCAUCACUCCGUAUACGAAGAACAUAUAAUUUAGAAAGGUGAGAGAUUUCUGCUGGUAUUAGACCUGUAAAACUUUAAUGCGACAAAUCAAGAUGCGUCAAGAUAGAUAACUCACCAAAUUUUGGUGAAAUGAGUGACCCGUAAAAAUUAUUAUAAGACAAAUCCAGACAUUUGAGAUUGGAGAGCUGAAACAGACUAUUGUUGGGAUGAAAUUUUCCUUGAAAUCCGCUGCAAAGGAGAUCAAGCUCAAUUACUUGUCCCGUCAUCUCCUCACAAUGAACUCCAUCCCAUGAGCAACAAUCUGUGAUCUUGUUCCAUGAUAGAGUUUUUGGACUAGGAAAGCCACAGAUAUCAGAAGCAUUAGGAUUAAAGGUAAACAUGUGCUUGAAUUGUAGAAGAGCAUGAGCUUGAUCUUCGGGGCACAAAUGAGGUAACGCUGAGGAGAAAACAAGUUGACAGAGAAACGUAUAUAGCAUAAAAAAUAGUACAAGUUUUACACAACCCAUUGCUGCACUAAAAUGAUUAAAACUAAUUAAGUUGGUGGAGAUGAAAUCAAGAAAUGUUUGCU